AGAGUUUGAUCAUGGCUCAGAUUGAACGCUGGCGGCAUGCUUUACACAUGCAAGUCGAACGGUAACAGGGAGCUUGCUCCGCUGACGAGUGGCGAACGGGUGAGUAAUGCAUCGGAACGUACCCAGUCGUGGGGGAUAACGUAGCGAAAGUUACGCUAAUACCGCAUACGUCCUGAGGGAGAAAGCGGGGGACCGUAAGGCCUCGCGCGAUUGGAGCGGCCGAUGUCGGAUUAGCUAGUUGGUAGGGUAAAGGCCUACCAAGGCGACGAUCCGUAGCGGGUCUGAGAGGAUAAUCCGCCACACUGGGACUGAGACACGGCCCAGACUCCUACGGGAGGCAGCAGUGGGGAAUUUUGGACAAUGGGCGAAAGCCUGAUCCAGCCAUGCCGCGUGAGUGAAGAAGGCCUUCGGGUUGUAAAGCUCUUUCAGCCGGAAAGAAAUCGCGCAGGAUAAUACUCUGCGUGGAUGACGGUACCGGAAGAAGAAGCACCGGCUAACUACGUGCCAGCAGCCGCGGUAAUACGUAGGGUGCGAGCGUUAAUCGGAAUUACUGGGCGUAAAGCGUGCGCAGGCGGUUAUGUAAGACAGAUGUGAAAUCCCC
rnacentral:rRNA from 1 species